AGAAGUCUUCCUAUAGAGAAUUUUAAAGAUCAAUUAUUAUAAUGACUUGAUUAUAAUGGCUUUCCAUAUUGAUUGCAAGGAGCUACAGGAAGAGUCACAUCUCUAAUGUUUGACCUCUGUUAGGUGCAAUAAUACAUACCACAGACCCAUAAAAUGAGCUCAUCAGAACUGUCUGCAUGACUAAAAUUCUCUCAUUAGCUUGUACAAGGAAGGCUAUUCCUUGUUCUUUGACUUUUUUAGCACUAAUUUUCUGUUUGCCUGACUGUUUCUCAAUGAAUGAGGAGAGUUUGCUUUUGCAGUAAUUUGAGCAAAGGAGAGACCUCCUGCUUCUGUGUUGAUAUAGUCUAAUAAUAUAGAUAUCAUCAUGCAAAACUUACAUUUACUUUUCAUAACAUCAAAAAGUAAAUACAUUUUAAGGGGCAGAAGAAAAAUAAAGCCUUAGGCAGUGAGCAAAAUAAACAUCAGGUGAAAGACAAAAGCCUGGAAGAAUUGAUUAUGCCACUUGGCUGCUCUCCUGAGGAAGAUAAAAGAGGCCAGGACAUGCUCUGCUACUCCCUGCAUGUAGAAGUCAGGCUUGGAAACAAUACUCUGACAUCUCUGCCAUGCAGAUAACUCCAGCAAGCAAGUCUGCUGAUUUAACUAUUCACAUUUUGUAUUUUUGUGCCCAUUGAUUGACAGCUACAGAACACAUUCUACCAGCCUGAUCUUUGUGUACCGGCUUUAAUGAAAAAAAAAAAAAUAGGAUAGGAAAGGGAUGAAAUUGAAAAGAUGAAGUGAUUAAAUAAAAGAUUAGGAUUCCCGAAGACUGGGUAUUCUGCCAAGAUAAUACAAGAAGAACUUGAGCCAAAGUAUCUGGCCUUUGUGCACACAGCCAAGGACACCAAAGACUGCACAAAACUUCUGCUGUUCAAAGCCUGUUGGGAGAUGUAGCUGUAGAAGAGUAGCACUCGAUAGAUCCUCAGCCUUUCAAAGACUGGGUCACAAACGUGGUCACAAACACCUCCAAGCCAACAUAUCAAAGGGUAGCACACUGCUAACAUCCAGUUCCCAUUAAAUAUAAUGCCACUCAAAACUGACAGCAUUUCUUGGUACUGUGCUGGAUCAAAAUGUGGGUACUGUUUUGCUGAUAGCAAGAUCUAAGUCAUAGUCAUUAUCUGGGGAAGGAAGAGCCUGAACUCUAGGAGAUACGAAGUCCGCCCUCCAACCUUCUCUCCAAAUAAACCAAUUAAAACAACUCAGCAAUGAAACACCCAAAGUAAUAUGACCCAGGUUUUUAUGUACAUUUUUUUCUGGACAAAAGUUUCUGCUGUCAUGUUUUGCUUUCCUUUGAGUGUGGGCAAGGAAGGAGCUGCUCUGCACCAUGAGGUGCUGGUCCAUUACAAUGCCCAUAGGAAAGACGCUCAGAUUCUGUAAGUUGUCAUAUAAAAUGCUGGUUAUUGAAGCUAACACUGUAAGAAGAGAAUAGCAUGGCUAAUCUUUAUCCCUUUUGAUGCUGAGAACCCUGAGUGAUGUAGCAUCAUCCAAUCAAUGCACAACACACCAGGGAGAAGCUGUCCAUAGAAGAUGGUCAUUCAGGCUCUUACAGGAUCUUUGUAUGGGAAAAAGAAAAGAGGAAAAAAUAUAUAUAAAAAAGCCAACAACUCCAUCAUUUCUACCGUCAAACAGAAAGAAUAUUCACAGGAGAAAGUCUUGCUGCAGUUAUAGGUAAAGGCAAGGCCAUGCAUGUGGCGUAAGCAACUGUGCCAAGUGGAAGCUGCCUGCAGGUUCCUUGGUCACAAGGGGCUGGCUGUGUUUAUCCUGUGACCAAGGGAUUUAUGGAAAAUAACACAUCUUGACUGCCACACUGGAUAGGUAGCACACAGUGGAGCACAGCACAGGCCUGCACCCACUGAGAUUAACUCUUACAUGGAUCACUGACUCCUAGGUCUCCUGGUCAGGAUCACUGCAGGAGCUGUUUUGUUUUGUUUUGUUUUGAACCUGAACUAUGACACUUUUAUAGUUCUAAAAGUUACAAUUACUGAGCUGAACAUGAAACAGCAAGUUGCACUGAGCAACAAGAAUUCGGAAAUGCUGUUUAUUCUGAAGA